CACGGCCCCAAUCCAAGCCAUGGCAGCAGUUUCAUAGCUGGUGUGGAUAGAAGUGAGCCAAGAGUAAUGCUUUCUUGACGGUCGCUGCUCAGUAUAACUUUGUGACUGACUAGCAACAUUUCAGAAAGUGACACAU